GAAUUGCUCGAUUCACUGGUUACACGAUUGGGUCUGGAGCUCAGUUGGUUCGAGCGCACCCCUGCAAAGGGAGAGGUCGGCAGUUCGAAUCUGCCCAGACCCACCAAUUGUUGGUGUGCUGCGUCAUCCGAUACGGGGCCAAAGCUCAGCUGGGAGAGCGCCUGCUUUGCACGCAGGAGGUCAGGAGUUCGAUCCUCCUUGGCUCCACCAUCCAAAACAAUCGUCGAAAGCUCAGAAAUGAAAACAAUCGUCGAAAGCUCAGAAAUGUAUGUUCGUAUAUGUACAUUGUUUUCUGGUCUUUGCACCAGAACUGUUCUUCAAAAAUUCGGGUAUGUGUUCGAAGUCAGACUGUAUGUUCUCUUUCACUGGUCAUCAUUCAAGUCAAGGUCAAAUUUGCGAGUUCAAGCGCGAAUUUUCGGCGAAUGUCGUCUUCACAGUAUCACCAGAUUGCUUGGGGUUAUAUAUGGUCA
rnacentral:tRNA from 1 species